GGGGGCGUAGCUCAAUUGGAAGAGCAGCGGUCUCCAAAACCGCCGGUUGGGGGUUCGAGUCCCUCCGCCCCCGCAA
rnacentral:tRNA from 1 species